GGGGAAGAAUCUACUUUUUCUUUCUUUCUUUCCUUCCUUCCUUCUUUCCUUCCUUCCUUCCUUUCUUCCUUUCUUUCUUUCUUUAUUGCUAUUGAAACCAGGGGUGUUCUGCCACUGAGCUAAAUCUGAGCCCCUUUUUUAUUUCGAGUCAGUGUUUUGCUAAAUUGCCAAUUCUGAGUUUGGGACUCUCCUAUCUCAGACUUCAGAGUCUGGCAUCAUAGGCAUACACCACCAUGCAUGGCUAGGGAGAAGAAUCCACUUCUAAAAUCAUUCAGAUUGUUGGCAGAAUUUAUGUCCUUGGAGCUGUAGGCCUAAGUCCCUAUUUUUUUGUUUUUGUUUGUGCAUUUUGCUGACUGAUAGCCUCAGGUUUCUCUCAGCCUUUGGAGACCAUUCAUAUUGCUUCUCCUUUGACCUUUUCAUCUUCAAAGUUAGAAAAUUUUAAUCUUUGAUUUAUUUUUAAAAAUUUUUUAGUUGUAGAUGGACACAAUACCUUUAUUUUAUUUAUUUAUUUUUAUGUGGUGCUGAGGAUUGAACCCAAUGCCUCACACAUGCCAAAUUAGUUCACUACCAUAGAGCCACAACCCCAGCCGCUAAUCUUCAAUUUCUCCUUUUGCCAUCAUCUUGAGAACUGUCUGCUUUGAAAGGGUUCUUGUGAUCACAUUAAGCCCCACAAAUAAUCUUUCCCUCACAUAAUAAUGAAAGUAAUGUCAUAUUUGCUGCUUCCACCAACACCACAGGGAUGGAUGGUAUAUGGAUAAGUCUUUUUAGGGUUAGUCUUAGAAUUUUACUUAUCUCAGGGUCAGUAUGCAUACCUUUUGUCAGGUAAGUUUUUUUCCCCACAGAAACAGCCUCACUUUCUGUUCCUUAGGUCACCUCACAGUUUUGAUGAUUUUCUAGAAUGACUCAAAGAAUUCAGGAAGUGAAUGACCAGUUAAUUAUAAAGGAUAUAACUCAGGGAACACCCAAUGGAAGAGACAUAGGGCAGGGUCUGGGGUGGCCACUCAGAGCUUCCAUUCUUUCAUUCUCUCUCUGAUUAUGCCACUUUCCCCACACAUAAAUGUGUUCACCAAUCCAAAUGGCCCCCAAGUCCUAUCAUUUAGGGAGUUUUUCUUUUUUAAAUUUUCUUUGCAGUUUUAUUAAGUAGAGAAACAUUCUUUGAUUUCUAACUUUCAUGACAAAUAACACAUAAACAAUUAACUAAAUCUUUGUUGAAACUUGAAUAAUGCAGGGAUUUAGUUAGGCUGUUAAAUGGAAAUAUCAGAGAUAUCAGAGCUCCUCUCUAUGGAAAUGACCAUUGAUGGAAAGAUGGACUGUAAACAGUGUACAUUACCACACAUCUAAUUUUUCAUCAUUUCAAGCAGCUCUCAGUUAUAUGACAUAAAGCCCUUUAAAAUAGAUAUACAUCUAGUGAAUACAAAUUAUCACAUUUGACAGCAAUGAAUAGUUAAAAUUAAUCAUAGGUGAAUGAAUAGUUCAAAUAUCUCUUCUCAGAGAGACUCAUGCCUAAGAUGGACGAAUUAAAAUAGUGAUAACAUAAGAAUGAGCUUGGAAAGAUGGGUAUGGGUGUUGGGUAUAGUGGCUGGGAUCUGGGAGAGGGCUUCAGACCUUAAUUAGCAUGAUACACACAUAUGGAUAUUACAUAAUCAUCUGAAAUUUAGAGAAACCAGGACAAGUUUAAUAGAGGAACUCCUACUUCAUUUGCCUCCUAUAACUUGCUCAAUGGAAUCCCUUCCUGACCUUCUAGGAGUGUAGACUGAGACCACUGGUCAUUCUGCACCCAGAAUCUUCUGGAAGUCUGUGACAAGGAGAGCUUUCUCUCUGUAAUUUGUGCUGAUUUGGAGCCAGACUAGCUGGAGAGAAGGAAAAAAAUUGAAGGAGCAUAAGUUGUUCCAGUGUAGAUUCCUCCACUAGUUCCAUCCCCACUAUGAGGACUUUUCCUGGCACUAAGUUACAACAGAAAGGGCAUUAUUCAGAUUUCAGCUCUGCUGGUUCUGGUUGUAUGACCUCUGUAAGAGAUUUUCCCUCUCUGAGCCUGAGUGCCCUUGUUUGUAGAAUGAGGCUGAUCUCCGUUCAGGAGUAAAUGGAGCAGUGCAGGGGAACACAGCACAACGUCUCGCAUGUGGUAGGCUCUUGUAAAGAGUAGUCAUUAAGCAUUAAGCUUCUGCUUCCUUUUAGGGUUUAAAUUCUGUUAAUACUAUAAUAAAUAUUUAAUUUGUUUACCCGACACUUUACAGUUUGUUAACAUUGUGAGGCAUAUAUUAACCCUAUCUUACAGAGAAAAUGAGAUUCUGUGAAGUUAUAUGUUAUUAAUUUAGUUUAUCUUGAUUUCACAGCAGAUAUUUCUCAUGACUCCCAAAUUCUCUGUGAUUGGUGAUAAUGUGUACUGGAUGCAUUCCAGGGUCACACCUUCUGCAAAAGUGACCAGGAAGGUGAUUGGAAGGAGGUGGAGUCUAUCAGCGCUACAGAUCCCCUCAGCUGCUUGAGGCCAGCUGCUGUCACCUUCUACCCACUGCUUCGUCACCCUGACCUGUGUAUACACAUUGGUCCCUCCCAUGCACUGGUAUCAGGAACUCAGGAAUGAGUGCCAUUUUCCCAGAGAUUAGGGAGACAUUGGUUGCUCAAACCCUUUUUAGGCACCAGCUUCUGCAGGGUGAUGUUCUAAAAAUGGUUGCCUAAUUUCUUCAUCUUCACUUUAACAGUUUAUCCCCCUUUUAACAAAUGAAGGAAGAAUAAAAGACAUUAAAAUUUCCCUCCAAGAUGACACAGCAAAUAAGUGACAGCUCCAAGACUCUAAUGCAUGAUCAAAUAGCAACUUCAGAGUCUAAGCUCUGACGUGUGUCCAGUGCCCUCGUUUCAAUGCUAAAGGGAUUUGCAAGAGUGAGAAAAGCUCCUGUCAGGCUCAUGGCAGCCAGGAAUGCUUCCUGAGGAAAGUCUAUGAAGGUGACAGACUCCUGUAUGGGUACCAGGGCUGUAGUGACUUGUGCAUUCCCAUGUCCUUCAUCAACCGAAAUGUGAAAGUGGAUUUAAUGUGCUGCAGUAACACAUCUUUCUGCAACAGUCUUUAGAGGCCUGAUCCUUUUUGCCCUCUUCUCCUUUGGGUAGGCAUUUGCCCUCCAGCGUAGCCCUUCCCUGCACUCCUGUACCCUUGAAACACUGGCUGUUUUUUGCCAGCACUGCCCAAGCCCUGACACCUGCUUGUUCUCAGCAUCAGGUGUUGACAUUUCAAUAGCUCACUCCCUGGACACCCUCAGUGCUCCUCCUUUCUCAGAUUCUAGUUUCCUUUCCUCUCUCCCUCCAUCAAUGGCUGGCAAAUAGCAAGCUCUCCCAAUCCCCUUCUCCAUCUUUUUCUUUCUUCAACAAAUAUUUUUUAACUACUAAAAACUGUCAUUAUGCAAUGAUUAUUCAACAAUGAAUAAAGUCAGACCUGACCUCUACCCUCAACGGAUUUUCAGUUUAAUUAUUUUUGGGAUUAAAUCUAUAGCCUUGGGCAUGCUAAGCACUUGCUCUGCCACUCCAGUUGUACUCCAGCUCUCCAGUUAUACUUUACAUGUACACACACACACACACAGCCUUUCCUAUCUUUUGGAAAAAAUCUAUAGUAUAGCUUUUUCCUAAUAAAUCUCAUGUUUUUGAA